AUGGCUGGCACCACCUCCGGCGCACUCGUCACCACCACCGCCGGCCCGCUCGUCUCCGGCCACACCGCUACCAUGCCGUCGCUCGCCGGCCUCAUCACCGUCCGGCUCACCCGCGCCAACUUCCUGCUAUGGAAGGCGCAGGUUGUCCCAAACCUCACCGGCGCCGGUCUGUUCGGCUACCUCGACGGCUCCGUUCCAGCGCCGCCGAAGACGAUCACCGAGGGCACCGGCGAUGCUGCGCGCUCCGUGCCCAACCCUGAGUACGAGCCAUGGAGGAGGACCGACCAGGCCGUGCUCGGCGCGCUCCUGUCCUCCAUGACGGAGGAAGUGCUUGCCCAGAUGACGCGAGCGACCCCCGCGGUGGCCGUUUGGACUGCCCUCGGUGCUAUGUUCGCUGCCCAGAAUCGGGCCAGUGUGCGCCAACUCCGUACGCAGUUGUCGCAGACGAAGAAGGACAUAUCAGCGGCAGAAUUCUUCUACAAGAUGACAGGCUAUGCCGACGCACUGGCCACCGUUGGCGAGGUACUGUCCGAUGACGAGAUCAUCGGGCACAUAAUCGGUGGGCUGGGUCAGGAAUAUGACCCCCUCAUGACUGCGCUCUCCAUCUUCACAGGAGAAGUAAGCCUCUCCGAUUUUUAUGCCUACCUUCUCAGCUUCGAGGCGCGUCAGGAGCAGCAUGCCGCGAACAGCGGCGACUUCUCUUCAUCAUCCAACAACGUCGUGCGCCACGGCAAUGGCUCCGGUUCCCGCGACGGCAACCGGAACAGCAAUGGUGGCCACGGUGGCCAUGGAAACAGGAGUGGUGGCAAUGGUGGCCGCUAUGGUUCCAAUGGCAACCGUGGCAACAACGGUGGCCGUCACAACGGCGGCGGCGGCAGGAACCGUCGUCCUCCAAGGUGCCAAAUAUGCCGCGAGGAGGGGCACUACGCCACCGAUUGUCGCGAUCGCUACAACGACCGCAGCGGCAACAUGGCUACAUACGGCCACCGCGACAACAAUUGGUACCUCGACACCGGUGCCACUGACCACCUCACCAGCGACCUUGACCGCUUGACGGUGCACGAGCGCUAUGGUGGAAAGGAUCAAGUUCAAGUUGCAAAUGGUGCAGGACAAAAUCACGAGGAGGGUCCUUCUUCUCGAUAG
rnacentral:rRNA from 1 species